CCUACGGGAGACAGCAGUGAGGAAUAUUGGUCAAUGGCCGGAAGGCUGAACCAGCCAUGCCGCGUGAAGGACGAAGGUGCCAAGCAUUGUAAACUUCUUUUGUCAAGGGACAAAAUCAGGCUCGAGAGCCUGACCGACGGUACCUGACCAAGAAGCCCCGGCUAACUACGUGCCAGCAGCCGCGGUAAUACGUAGGGGGCAAGCGUUAUCCGGAUUUACUGGGUGUAAAGGGAGCGUAGACGGCAAGGCAAGUCUGGAGUGAAAGCCCGUGGCUCAACCACGGGACUGCUUUGGAAACUGUGUUGCUGGAGUGCAGGAGGGGUAAGCGGAAUUCCUAGUGUAGCGGUGAAAUGCGUAGAUAUUAGGAGGAACACCGGUGGCGAAGGCGGCUUACUGGACUGUAACUGACGUUGAGGCUCGAAGGCGUGGGGAGCAAACAGGAUUAGAUACCCUUGUAGUC
rnacentral:rRNA from 1 species